UGCUUGCGUUCACCGUAAGAAGUUGAGUGGCGGACGGGUGAGUAACACGUGGGUAACCUGCUUAAAAGAAGGGGAUAACACUUGGAAACAGGUGCUAAUACCGUAUAUCUCUAAGGAUCGCAUGAUCCUUAGAUGAAAGAUGGUUCUGCUAUCGCUUUUAGAUGGACCCGCGGCGUAUUAACUAGUUGGUGGGGUAACGGCCUACCAAGGUGAUGAUACGUAGCCGAACUGAGAGGUUGAUCGGCCACAUUGGGAAUGAGACACGGCCCAAACUCCUACGGGAGGCAGCAGUAGGGAAUCUUCCACAAUGGACGCAAGUCUGAUG
rnacentral:rRNA from 1 species